GGGCGGUUAGCUCAGUUGGUUAGAGCGUUGCGCUCACAUCGCAAAGGUCGCCCGUUCAAAUCGGGCACCGCCCA
rnacentral:tRNA from 1 species